rnacentral:lncRNA from 1 species
GGGUUUUGUUUAUUGUUGAAGGCAGUAACAUAAAUGAUUAUAUAGUAUGAGUUUUGUCCAUUGUUGAAGGCAGUAGUGUAGUUGAUUAUACAGUAUGGGUUUUGUUCAUUGUUCAAUGCAGUAAUGUAGCUGACUAUACAGUAUGGGUCUUGUUCAUUGUUGAAGGCGGUAAUGUAGCUGACUAUACAGUAUAGGGUUUUUUCAUUGUUGAAGGCAAUAAUUUCACUGAUUAUACAGUAUGGAUUUUGUCCAUUGUUGAAGGUAAAUGUAGUAAUGAAACUGAUUAUACAGUAUGGGUUUUGUUCAUUGUUGAAGGCAGGAAUGUAACUGAUUAUACAUUAAGGGUUUUGUUCAUUGUUGAAGGCAGUAAUGCAGAUGGAGUAUUGUUUUAUCAAGAAAGAAGAAGGGAAAAUUACAGAGACUAUGAAGACAGUAAGGUUUGUAGUUCUAAGAGUUAAUUCAGAAAGGUUUCUAAAAAAUAUCCAUUUAGGAAAUCGAUAUUAAGUAAUCAAAUAUAAUGAAAUUAAGGUAAAAUGACAAAUAUACCGACCUCCGAGGUAAACUCAAAUCACAAAGUCUUUUUUUCAGAUGACAAAAGCGCAAACACAUUAAACGAAUGAACACAUAACUUGGUGCAGGAAUUUUGUGUAAAAAAUUGUGGAUUAAACCUUUUUAAAUAGCUAACUAAACCUCUCAAUUGUCAGACAUAAACUUUCAUUUUUUUACAACAAUAUGUGAACAAACAAACAGACAUACUAGGAACAAAUGUUAAA